ensembl:ncRNA lncRNA:CR44586 long non-coding RNA:CR44586
AUAUGCAAUUCCUGCAGUGCUGGACCCACAGAAACCCAGCAGGAACAUCAAGAAUAGCGAGGGCAAGGACAUCCCUGGCAAAAGGGGAAAGUGUGGGUGAUGUGGGCCCAACCACUUUCGUCACUCUUCGACGCAUCCCGAAAUGAACGGGGAUUCCCCCUCAUAAUGAAACCAGCUAAUAUAUCUUGUUGACGUCGCCAGCAGUGGCAACAAAAAAGGAGGAAACGACAUCGGAGGACCAGAGCCCCAAAACCCAAAGCCGAAGCAAAAGCAGCACAGACAUGUCUAUUUUGGACCAUAUCGAUUUUGUCGGGACCCUGACUCUCGGC